UACAGAGGGUGCGAGCGUUAAUCGGAAUUACUGGGCGUAAAGCGUGCGUAGACGGCUAUCUAAGUCGGGUGUGAAAGCCCCGGGCUCAACCUGGGAAUUGCAUUCGAGACUGAAUAGCUAGGGUGCGGUAGAGGGAAGCGGAAUUUCCGGUGUAGCGGUGAAAUGCGUAGAUAUCGGAAGGAACAUCAGUGGCGAAGGCGGCUAUCUGGACAGAAACUGACGCUGAGGCGCGAAAGCUAGGGGAGCAAACAGG
rnacentral:rRNA from 1 species